AUGAAGUCUUCUCUGGUCUAGAAGAGAGGCAUCCGUGAUCUGAGCGGACCUGAAGAUGAAUUUCAGGAUGGUCCCACUAUUGGGCAGUAGAAUGUCUAGGAUAUAAAUGGGGAGGUUGGGAGGGAUGGAAUAUUCUGGUCUGGGAGAGAAGAGGACACCUACUUUUGAUUGGAGAAGACCAAGGAAGGGCUGGAGGUGCCAGGAAACUACAGCAUGGGAUCUUGCCAAUAUAAAGCAAAGUGACAGAAUUCAGCCACUGCAAAAUCAUCAGUUUUAUUCCGUUUGUUUGUGGACAGGAAACUGGUGUCCAGAGAGUUGUCAGUUGUCACUUCCUGUCCAGCAUCAUGUCCCAGGAAGUUAGUCCCAGAACCUCAGUGGAUGCACAGCUACAGACAGAUCCUUCUCCUCUGCACAUACAUCAUGUUGUGAUCUGUUUGUCAUCUCUGAGCUCAUCAGACUGCAAGCUUCAAAGGGGUGAUAGCCCUGCCACUGUAUUUUCAUGGAAUCUACACAACUUUUGAGAUAAAAA
rnacentral:lncRNA from 1 species